AUGACCUGCGGGGGACACAAACAGACUGUUUAAGAGAAAAAUUGGUAAUCAACUAGUCCAUGUGCUUUUAAUGGUAGAAGUAUUACAUGAGAAUGAACCUCAGAAUGAAGGAGUAUUCAGCAUGUUUCCACUGGACCCUUUCUAACCAUUUAUUAGGCACUUCCUUAUAGUCAGGCACUCUGCUAACCUCUCCCGUAUGUUUUCUCAUAUAAGUCUUCCAACAGCUCUGGAAUGCAUUUUAAACACAAGGAAAGAGGGGCACCUGGGUGGCUCAGUAGGUUAAGAGUCCCAACUCUUGAUUUCAGCUCAGGUCAUGAUCUCACAGUUGUGGGAUUGAGCCCCACAUGGGGCUCCAUGCUGAGCGUGGAACCUGCUUGGGAUUCCCUUUCUCUCCCUCUGUCUCUGUCCCCCUCCUACUUGUUCUUUCUCUCUCUUUCUUUCAAAAAUAAAUAAAUAAAAUUAAGCACAAAGAAACGGAGAUUAAGAGACAUUCAGAAUGCAGCUUAUUAAUGGUGGAGCUCAGAUUAGAUUUUACAUCUGACCUCAGGAAUCAAAUUCUUAACCAUUAUACUGCAUGACUUGCAAGUGAGUUCAAGGCAUACACUUUGGAUGGGUGGAUGUCUUUACUUUCAACCAGUGAUCAAAUGUCAGUAUUAUACUCUACAAUCCUGGGACUGCUGAAAUAGUCUUAGGGGUAUAUACAUUUGAGCAAAGACUUCCCUUCUCUCUCAUGUUUUCAAGUUGCGAAUCCUACAGAAGGAAUUCUAGAAUAAAUUUGUGUCAGGGUGCUACCCAUUUCCCUUAAACCAGGAACGGAACCAGACUCAGAGAAGUCUGUUGUCCCAACUCAUUCACUGACCAACUUUCACUCAGUGCAUUCAGUGCCAGCUAUCUGCUGGGCGUGCUUCUAGGCACCUGUGACACGUAAGUGAGCAAGAUAAAUAAGGUUCAGUCUCUCCUUAUAUUCCGGUUUAUAUUCUAGGCUCUAAAAGUUCCAGAAUCAUCCUAGCUCUCCAAAGAAAAAUGGCAUUUGCUAGUUUGAAACUCUGCAAUGGAGAUGGUCCAAUGACUUGAUUGCCUUUGUAGACUACAGUGAAAUUUCCUCUUUGCUCCUUGGGUCUAAGUAAAUGCCAGGAAUACUGAAAGGUUGGAACUGAAUGGUUCUAUCAACAAAUCCAUAUUGAUUGGAUGUAGUGGCAUAAAAUGGACUCAGAAACCCAUCACCCUCCAGGCAUUGUGCCAAGAACAGGGGAUAUAAUGAUGAACAAGAAAAAGAUACAAACAAAUAAGGGAUGAUCUGUGCUACUUUGAGGAAAAACUCAAAGCGACCAGGAAAGAAAGAAAAAUGAUGGAUCCAGUAGCAUGGUGGGUGUGUUGGGAGGUAGACAUACUUCAAAGAGGGACGUUACUAAGCAUACACAAAUGUUGUUGACCCAGCUUGGCCGACACACCUAUCUGGAAGGUGACGGUAUAGCCAUUCAGGCAAUGUUUAUGUAUUUAUGCACAAAAAAAAAAUGUUAUCUCUCUGCCUCACAGGUAUUUUAUGAACACAAGCAAUUCCUUCUGUGUAUCACUGCCAUGAUGCUGGAAACACUGCAUCGCCAGUAACCAGCAGAGAGCCUGGGACAUAGCAGGCAUGUGAUCAUGUCGAAUAACAACACUCACGAAUAAAUGAAAGGCACUUUUAGAACAAUAGGAUGUUGAAUUUAUGGUGUCAUAAAAUAAAUCAGUUCCACAUUU